ensembl:snoRNA small nucleolar RNA, H/ACA box 25
AGGUCAUUUCAAAGCGGGCUUAUGGAACUGAGAUCAAGAGCUCUUAACGCCGUGACCACAGAUAGUCUCCACGGAAUGCCAUCGACCUCCACAGUGCUGUUUCCUGAAUGUAACCAU